UACGUAGGUGGCAAGCGUUGUCCGGAUUUACUGGGCGUAAAGCGCGCGUAGGCGGCCACUUAAGUCGGAUGUGAAAGCCCCUGGCUCAACUGGGGAAGUGCACCCGAAACUGAAUGGCUUGAAUGCAAAAGAGGGUCGCGGAAUUCCCGGUGUAGAGGUGAAAUUCGUAGAUAUCGGGAGGAACACCGGUGGCGAAGGCGGCGACCUGGGUUGACAUUGACGCUGAGGCGCGAAAGCGUGGGGAGCAAACGGG
rnacentral:rRNA from 1 species